rnacentral:rRNA from 1 species
GACGAACGCUGGCGGCGUGCUUAACACAUGCAAGUCGAACGGUAAGGCUCCAGCUUGCUGGGGUACACGAGUGGCGAACGGGUGAGUAACACGUGGGUGACCUGCCCUGCGCUUCGGGAUAAGCCUGGGAAACUGGGUCUAAUACCGGAUAGGACCGCACCGUUAGGGUGUGGUGGAAAGUUUUUUCGGUGUGGGAUGGGCCCGCGGCCUAUCAGCUUGUUGGUGGGGUAAUGGCCUACCAAGGCGGCGACGGGUAGCCGGCCUGAGAGGGUGGACGGCCACAUUGGGACUGAGACACGGCCCAGACUCCUACGGGAGGCAGCAGUGGGGAAUAUUGCACAAUGGGCGGAAGCCUGAUGCAGCGACGCCGCGUGGGGGAUGACGGCCUUCGGUUUGUAAACUCCUUUCACCAUCGACAAAGGGUUUCUGACGGUAGAUGGAGAAGAAGCACCGGCUAACUACGUG